ensembl:lncRNA
UUAACAGCCCGGCAUAAUCGGACUGCUACCAUCGCUUCAAGCUGAGCUGCUGUUUUGGUUCUCUUUAAUAUUUGUUUGGUGAAUUGUUUAUGGUUUUUUUUUUAUUCUGUUGUUUGCGGCGGCUUGGAGCGGACUUCUCAGCCCAGUACGGCUGAGUGCCGUCUGCGUCCACUCGUGUAGAGGCUGGUUGUGUUGCUGUUGUGUCAGAACUUGUACAGCUGCAAGGGCUACUUCAGUUGAUGGUGUUUUGUUUCCUUUGUUAUUUGGAAAUUAAUUCAGGUGCUGUGGCUUACUGCGGCAGUUAUUUCCUGGUGGUGGUGGUCUUCUUCACGGUCCCCCCUUUCUUUUGGUUUUGUGUGUGUGUGUGUGUAUUAUUUGCAGUGUCACGGGUGAUUCAUUUAAGGAUUCCUCUCCCCUUUUUUGGUUGUCCUGCCGCAGGGUAAGCCCUAGCCUGGGUUUAUUUUAUUCCUUGUUGCUCAUUCUUUCUUUUAGUUAGUAUAUGUUAACUGGUGUGUGACAUUAUUUCCUUCCUUAUAAAUUGUUAAUAAACAUUGUUAAAUUGGAACACGUCUCGCCCCCCUGUGUUAAUGGACCCUGUUUGAGCCUUAAUUGGUUUAGUGACAGUGAAACACACCUGAGCUAGGAUUUCCUGGGUGCAGGUCCCAGGUGGCGUUGUCGGGACCAUAAUUGGUCUAAUUGGCUACAAACAUUCCUCGAAUCUCGCCACAUCAGCAUUGGCUACAGUGCUGAAGAGAAACCUGGGGUUCUUCUUGUUCUCCUCUAUUAAUGAUAAAUAGUAUCAGCAUACUAGCAUUACUGGCAUUACGAAGAGCUUUUUUUUUUUUAUAAAGCAUUAGACUAUUUUUUCAAGCUACGUAAACUUCCGCUAAACUAGUGAAAUGCCACUUCCUUACCAGCUUUUGCGAGGCCUGCUUUAAAGUCCGCAGAUGGGAAUUAUGGCAAGGAGCAGGUGGGAAAAAUUGUUACAUCUGCCCUUCAUUUUUUUCCAUAAAUGGUGUUGAAGCUUAUUCUCAACUGCUGUACAAUCCAUUGCUGUAAAAUGAAAUGUUAUUAAAAAAUGGUCAGACUUCUGUCUGAGGGUUCUGGGGAAAUACUGUUAACUGUUCAGUUUCUAUACCAGUCAGAACAAGCUCAAGGGUGUGGUUAAAACUGAGUCGGUUUAUUUACAUGUUGAGAAAAACCAGUUAAGUCUAAUAAUGAAUUAAAUGCAGUCUCAAGGUUGUCACUGUCAACGUUAACAUGAAUGUUAAACUCCCCCACAAUAAUGACUUCAUCUGAACUAAGCACUAAAUCAGGAAAAAAAAGUCUUUACAUGUACAUUAAACAACUUUAUUAUCCAGCGUUAUUGCUCACAAGGGACUUAAUAUGUUUGAUGACUGAAUAGAGGGACUUUUUUAAUAUUUUAAUAAUUCUAAAUAAAAACACCAGCAAUGAUAAUUUGUCUGUUAUAAAUGUUUUUUGAAAACCAUGUAACUUAAUGGAAAUAAAACCAUUCAAAGCACAUUUCAAAGCAGUUUAAUGAGGAUUAUUCAGUGAAGCAGAAGCAACAAAACUGGUUUUGUUGAAAUUUCUGCAGUUUCAAACAGACUCACACACACUAUCUAACUUAAUGAAGUGCCUUUAUUCAUCAGAUAGAUGACUUGUUACAAAGAGAAGCUAUCUUAAAUAGGGAGUAGUGAAACACAACCAGUCAUAUUCCCCACAAGUUAUAGGAAGGUAUGAAUCCUAAAACAACUUUCUACUGAAUGACAGCUUUGCAAUGACAACAAAAUUAAUUAUCUUUUGAAGAAUUAAUAUUAUAAUUUUGUUUUCAAUCAUUCUCUGUAUCUUUAUUUUCUCAUGUUUAUUCUGUCUGUGUUGUCAGAUCAUUCUCUCUGUAAAGAACAUUUGCUAAUGUUUGUUGUUUUUAAAUAUGCUCUAAAGUGACUUGAUG